AUCCUUUUGUGGUUCCUAAGCGUGAUGGUUGGUUUUUCACGUGCAUGCAUCAGAUGCGCCUCCCUGAAACCUUGUUGCAACUUAUGGCACAUUACCCCUCUGAUG